CAAGCCAGAAAAAUGAAGAAGGUUGCAGUUAAGUUUGCAGUCAAAUUAUGGAUACUCCUCUGAAAUUGAUACUGAAGGUUCAUAAAAAUGAACCCAGCUAGUUUGGUAUAGAUGCAUAGUUGAUAGAUUGAUAAAUAAUGAUGCUCUAGCUAUAUUCUUAAGGAAAUUACAACUGACUGAACAAAAUGAGCAAAAGACCUCGACAAAACAUUUGCUUCCAUAAUGAGAAACAUUUUCCUCAUCCCACCUCCAUAUUCUUUCCGUAUCUUAUUCUCACAUUCAAAUUGGUAGUUAUUGGUAGUUUAACUCAAAACCUAUGAUUAACAAUUCAUGCAACAAACAAAUCAGUUUUUGCAGACUCCCUUCUAAUGGAAACUAAAAAUGAGGGACAACUACACAUUAACUAUCCUAAAUUUCCUUCUUAAUCUAAUGUUUCAUAAACUUGUGGUAGGUCAAUGGCCAGCAUAAAGCUGCUCAACUUAUGAUGAGAAAUGAA
rnacentral:lncRNA from 1 species